rnacentral:rRNA from 1 species
UUAAGCGACUAAGCGUACACGGUGGAUGCCCUGGCAGUCAGAGGCGAUGAAGGACGUGCUAAUCUGCGAUAAGCGUCGGUAAGGUGAUAUGAACCGUUAUAACCGGCGAUUUCCGAAUGGGGAAACCCAGUGUGUUUCGACACACUAUCAUUAACUGAAUCCAUAGGUUAAUGAGGCGAACCGGGGGAACUGAAACAUCUAAGUACCCCGAGGAAAAGAAAUCAACCGAGAUUCCCCCAGUAGCGGCGAGCGAACGGGGAGGAGCCCAGAGCCUGAAUCAGUGUGUGUGUUAGUGGAAGCGUCUGGAAAGGCGCGCGAUACAGGGUGACAGCCCCGUACACAAAAAUGCACAUACUGUGAGCUCGAUGAGUAGGGCGGGACACGUGGUAUCCUGUCUGAAUAUGGGGGGACCAUCCUCCAAGGCUAAAUACUCCUGACUGACCGAUAGUGAACCAGUACCGUGAGGGAAAGGCGAAAAGAACCCCGGCGAGGGGAGUGAAAAAGAACCUGAAACCGUGUACGUACAAGCAGUGGGAGCACGCUUAGGCGUGUGACUGCGUACCUUUUGUAUAAUGGGUCAGCGACUUAUAUUCUGUAGCAAGGUUAACCGAAUAGGGGAGCCGAAGGGAAACCGAGUCUUAACUGGGCGUUAAGUUGCAGGGUAUAGACCCGAAACCCGGUGAUCUAGCCAUGGGCAGGUUGAAGGUUGGGUAACACUAACUGGAGGACCGAACCGACUAAUGUUGAAAAAUUAGCGGAUGACUUGUGGCUGGGGGUGAAAGGCCAAUCAAACCGGGAGAUAGCUGGUUCUCCCCGAAAGCUAUUUAGGUAGCGCCUCGUGAAUUCAUCUCCGGGGGUAGAGCACUGUUUCGGCAAGGGGGUCAUCCCGACUUACCAACCCGAUGCAAACUGCGAAUACCGGAGAAUGUUAUCACGGGAGACACACGGCGGGUGCUAACGUCCGUCGUGAAGAGGGAAACAACCCAGACCGCCAGCUAAGGUCCCAAAGUCAUGGUUAAGUGGGAAACGAUGUGGGAAGGCCCAGACAGCCAGGAUGUUGGCUUAGAAGCAGCCAUCAUUUAAAGAAAGCGUAAUAGCUCACUGGUCGAGUCGGCCUGCGCGGAAGAUGUAACGGGGCUAAACCAUGCACCGAAGCUGCGGCAGCGACACUAUGUGUUGUUGGGUAGGGGAGCGUUCUGUAAGCCUGUGAAGGUGUGCUGUGAGGCAUGCUGGAGGUAUCAGAAGUGCGAAUGCUGACAUAAGUAACGAUAAAGCGGGUGAAAAGCCCGCUCGCCGGAAGACCAAGGGUUCCUGUCCAACGUUAAUCGGGGCAGGGUGAGUCGACCCCUAAGGCGAGGCCGAAAGGCGUAGUCGAUGGGAAACAGGUUAAUAUUCCUGUACUUGGUGUUACUGCGAAGGGGGGACGGAGAAGGCUAUGUUGGCCGGGCGACGGUUGUCCCGGUUUAAGCGUGUAGGCUGGUUUUCCAGGCAAAUCCGGAAAAUCAAGGCUGAGGCGUGAUGACGAGGCACUACGGUGCUGAAGCAACAAAUGCCCUGCUUCCAGGAAAAGCCUCUAAGCAUCAGGUAACAUCAAAUCGUACCCCAAACCGACACAGGUGGUCAGGUAGAGAAUACCAAGGCGCUUGAGAGAACUCGGGUGAAGGAACUAGGCAAAAUGGUGCCGUAACUUCGGGAGAAGGCACGCUGAUAUGUAGGUGAAGUCCCUUGCGGAUGGAGCUGAAAUCAGUCGAAGAUACCAGCUGGCUGCAACUGUUUAUUAAAAACACAGCACUGUGCAAACACGAAAGUGGACGUAUACGGUGUGACGCCUGCCCGGUGCCGGAAGGUUAAUUGAUGGGGUCAGCGCAAGCGAAGCUCUUGAUCGAAGCCCCGGUAAACGGCGGCCGUAACUAUAACGGUCCUAAGGUAGCGAAAUUCCUUGUCGGGUAAGUUCCGACCUGCACGAAUGGCGUAAUGAUGGCCAGGCUGUCUCCACCCGAGACUCAGUGAAAUUGAACUCGCUGUGAAGAUGCAGUGUACCCGCGGCAAGACGGAAAGACCCCGUGAACCUUUACUAUAGCUUGACACUGAACAUUGAGCCUUGAUGUGUAGGAUAGGUGGGAGGCUUUGAAGUGUGGACGCCAGUCUGCAUGGAGCCGACCUUGAAAUACCACCCUUUAAUGUUUGAUGUUCUAACGUUGACCCGUAAUCCGGGUUGCGGACAGUGUCUGGUGGGUAGUUUGACUGGGGCGGUCUCCUCCUAAAGAGUAACGGAGGAGCACGAAGGUUGGCUAAUCCUGGUCGGACAUCAGGAGGUUAGUGCAAUGGCAUAAGCCAGCUUGACUGCGAGCGUGACGGCGCGAGCAGGUGCGAAAGCAGGUCAUAGUGAUCCGGUGGUUCUGAAUGGAAGGGCCAUCGCUCAACGGAUAAAAGGUACUCCGGGGAUAACAGGCUGAUACCGCCCAAGAGUUCAUAUCGACGGCGGUGUUUGGCACCUCGAUGUCGGCUCAUCACAUCCUGGGGCUGAAGUAGGUCCCAAGGGUAUGGCUGUUCGCCAUUUAAAGUGGUACGCGAGCUGGGUUUAGAACGUCGUGAGACAGUUCGGUCCCUAUCUGCCGUGGGCGCUGGAGAACUGAGGGGGGCUGCUCCUAGUACGAGAGGACCGGAGUGGACGCAUCACUGGUGUUCGGGUUGUCAUGCCAAUGGCACUGCCCGGUAGCUAAAUGCGGAAGAGAUAAGUGCUGAAAGCAUCUAAGCACGAAACUUGCCCCGAGAUGAGUUCUCCCUGACCCUUUAAGGGUCCUGAAGGAACGUUGAAGACGACGACGUUGAUAGGCCGGGUGUGUAAGCGCAGCGAUGCGUUGAGCUAACCGGUACUAAUGAACCGUGAGGCUUAACCUU